CCGAACAGAGCAUUCCCGCAGGUAGUUGGAAAGAGACCACGGACUUUGAGGGAAGCUCACUCAGGAUCUGCUCUCCGGCAAAGCAGUAAGUGAGGUGCUGAGAGCAGGAUGAGCUACUUUGUGGAUUCUGCUGGGAGCAGCCCAGUGCCUUACUCAGCGGCUCGUUCUGCAGUGGUGAGGCAAGGACCUAGCAACAUUUAUGAAGAUCCUCGAAUGACCUGUGGUUUCCAGUCCAAUUAUCACCAGCAAAGGCCUUGCUACCCCUUUUGGGAUGAAAUGGCAACUCAGGAAGUUCCUACUGGUC